UAAUAGUGAUAUGGAGCAAAACCCUAAAAGCGGUCUCAGUUCGGAUUGAAGGCUGAAAUUCGCCUUCAUGAAGCUGGAAUUGCUAGUAAUGGCAGGUCAGCAUACUGCCGUGAAUACGUUCCCGGGCCUUGUACACACCGCCCGUCACACCAUGAGAGUUGGAAAUACCCGAAGCCUGUGAGCUAACAGUAAUGAGGCAGCAGUCGAAGGUAGAGCCAAUGAUUGGGGUGAAGUCGUAACAAGGUAAC
rnacentral:rRNA from 1 species